UGAGGAAUAUUGGUCAAUGGACGCAAGUCUGAACCAGCCAUGCCGCGUGAAGGAUGAAGGCCUUCUGGGUUGUAAACUUCUUUUAUCUGGGAAGAAAACUACGGUUUCUACUGUAGCCGACGGUACCAGAGGAAUAAGCACCGGCUAACUCCGUGCCAGCAGCCGCGGUAAUACGGAGGGUGCAAGCGUUAUCCGGAUUUACUGGGUUUAAAGGGUGUGUAGGCGGGUCUUUAAGUCAGUGGUGAAAUCUCCGAGCUCAACUUGGAAACUGCCAUUGAUACUAUUGAGCUUGAAUUCUGUUGAGGUUGGCGGAAUAAGUCAUGUAGCGGUGAAAUGCAUAGAUAUGACUUAGAACACCGAUUGCGAAGGCAGCUAACUAAACAGAUAUUGACGCUGAGGCACGAAAGCGUGGGGAUCAAACAGG
rnacentral:rRNA from 1 species